rnacentral:misc_RNA from 1 species
GGCAGUUCAGAGUGAUAGGACCAAGACACCCUAUCCGGGCUCUGGUCGGGGAUGAAGUGGAAUUGCCAUGUCGCAUAUCUCCUGGGAAGAACGCUACAGGCAUGGAGGUGGGGUGGUACCGCCCCCCCUUCUCUAGGGUGGUUCAUCUCUACAGAAAUGGCAAGGACCAAGAUGGAGACCAGGCACCUGAAUAUCGGGGCCGGACAGAGCUGCUGAAAGAUGCUAUUGGUGAGGGAAAGGUGACUCUCAGGAUCCGGAAUGUAAGGUUCUCAGAUGAAGGAGGUUUCACCUGCUUCUUCCGAGAUCAUUCUUACCAAGAGGAGGCAGCAAUGGAAUUGAAAGUAGAAGUGUCUCACUCUGUCACCCAGGAUUGGUUGCAGUGGCACGAUCAUGGCUCAUUGCAGCCUCCACCUCCCAGGCUCAAGUGAUCCUCCUGACUCAGCCUCUUGAAUAGCUGAGACCACAGGCUUGUGUCACCAUGCCCAGAUCCUUUCUACUGGGUGAGCCCUGGAGUGCUGGUUCUCCUCGCGGUGCUGCCUGUGCUCCUCCUGCAGAUCACUGUUGGCCUCGUCUUCCUCUGCCUGCAGUACAGACUGAGAGGAAAACUUCGAGCAGAGAUAGAGAAUCUCCACCGGACUUUUGAUCCCCACUUUCUGAGGGUGCCCUGCUGGAAGAUAACCCUGUUUGUAAUUGUGCCGGUUCUUGGACCCUUGGUUGCCUUGAUCAUCUGCUACAACUGGCUACAUCGAAGACUAGCAGGGCAAUUCCUUGAAGAGCUACGAAAUCCCUUCUGAGUGAUGUCACAUCUUGGCAGGGGUGGAGGAGAGCCUGGUUGCCCAGGGAUUUGUCCUUGGGGACAUCUCAUCCAUCAAGUUGCACACUCACUGGCAUCUUUGCUAUGGGGACAUUCCAAUUUGCACUUUCAGGAACACUCUGAAUUCCAAGUAGAAUUGAUUUCCCUUCUUCUGUCAUCUACCUUUUCUCUUCAUUUUCCCAUUUUUAUUACCCUUCUUUCCAUUUCUCUCUCCAGUCUUCCACCUGGAAGCCCUCUCUGGCUAAGGACAGGCAGGUGCCCCUCUCUCCAUCAGAGGACACCUGUACUGGAGAGCAACACAGGAUGGUCUCUGCCAUGAACUGGAGGCCAGGAAUCUCCUCACUGAAAAUUACAGUAUGGUAACUUUGCAAAUGGUGGUUGUUUCUUCCAAGACUCCAGCCCUGAUUGCGCAAAACUGAAAGGCAUGUGAAGGGAAGGAAGAGGAAGAGUGCAAAACAUUGAAGAGAGAGCUGAGUGAGCUGAAGAGUGAGGAUAUGAGUAGCCCCAACCCAAACCUGGAGAUGGGGAGAAACCUACAGAAUACUAGCCAGAGCUCCUCCUUGUCUUGGCAGCCUACUAGGGACCUGGGGAAGCAAAAACGAAAGCUGGGCAACAUGCCUGCUUUAGAAUGUUUUCCUUCUACUUACACAUCUUCCACAGGUCUCAGAAUCUUUCCUUCCUCUCAUCCUUUUCUCCUAUCUUCAUAUCUAUCAGAGUAUCCACUGUUUAUUCAACAACUACUACUUGAUGGUCAGACACAAACAAACAAGCUAGGUGCUAAUUAAUAAAGAUACGAGUUUUGGCCGGGUGCGGUGGCUCACGCCUGUAAUCCCAGCACUUUGGGAGGCCGAGGCGGGCGAAUCACGAGGUCAGGAGUUCAAGACCAGCCUGGCCAACAUGGUGAAACCCCAUCUCUACUAAAAAUACAAACAAUUAACUGAGCAUAGUGGUGGGCACCUAUAAUACCAGCUACUCCGGAGGCUGAGGCAGGAGAAUCGCUUGAACCCAGGAGGCAGAGGUUGCAGUGAGCUGAGAUCGCGCCACUGCACUCUAGCCGGAGUGACAGAGUAAGACUCUGUCUCAAAAAUAAAUAAAUAAAUAAAUAAAUAAAUAAAUAAAUAAAUAAAUAAAUAAAUAAAAAAUAAUAAUACAAGUUUUCAUAAGCACACUUCUAA